rnacentral:SRP_RNA from 1 species
UCGUGCUAGACGGGGAGGUAGCGGUGCCCUGUACCCGCAAUCCGCUAUAGCGGGGUCGAAUUCCUAUCUGAGGGACUGGCUUUGUGGAGUCUGGUCCAAAUAAGUGGUGUUGAAGAUUGGGUCUUGCGCAAUAAGAAUUCAUGAACCCCGUCAGGUCCGGAAGGAAGCAGCGGUAAGUGAAACCUCUUAUGUGCCGCAAGGGUGCCUGGUUGGAGCUAACUGUUUGGAUAUCGUCUGGAGGGCCGUUUCGAAGGUAGGUGCACGG